UACGUAGGGUGCGAGCGUUGUCCGGAUUUACUGGGCGUAAAGCGCUCGUAGGUGGUUUGUCGCGUUGUUCGUGAAAACUCACAGCUCAACUGUGGACGUGCGGGCGAUACGGGCAGACUGGAGUACUGCAGGGGAGACUGGAAUUCCUGGUGUAGCGGUGGAAUGCGCAGAUAUCAGGAGGAACACCGGUGGCGAAGGCGGGUCUCUGGGCAGUAACUGACGCUGAGGAGCGAAAGCGUGGGGAGCGAACAGG
rnacentral:rRNA from 1 species